GUUCGAUCAAAGCUUGAAGUGCGGGCAAAUGUGCUAGUGCAAAAAGUUUGCAGCAGCGGAGCGCCGAAGAACUUUCGCGGAAGAGCCGGGGAAAACCUUCAUCGGCAGCAGCAUCAUCGAGGGAUCGAAGUGAUCAUAUUUUACUUUAGUGAAUUACAGGUGCAGAAAAAGAACGGAAUUGUGUAUUAGUGUAAUUAAAUUGAAUAAAACAGUUAAUAUAGUA